rnacentral:rRNA from 1 species
AAUUUAAAAAUUAAUAAAUAAAAAUAUAAUAAAAGUAAUUUUAAUAUUAAAAUAAAUAAUGGGGGUUAAAGUAUUUUAAUAGAAAGAAUUAUAAGAUUUAUAGUAAAUUAGUAUAGUAUUAGAAAUUUGAAAUAUUUGAAAAAUAAUUUUAAAAAAAGUAAAUUUAAAUUAUUGUAUCUUGUGUAUCAGAGUUUAUUUAAUAAAAUUUUUAGUUAAAAAUAUCUCGAAUUUAAAAGAGUUAAUUAAUUAAUAAAGUUAAUGUUGAAUAAUUAUUUUAAAUAAUUAAUUUGAAAUGAAAUGUUAAUCGUUUUUAAAUAUAUCUAGUUAUUUUAGAAAAAAAUUUAAUUUUAAAUUUAUUUAUAAAAUAUGUUAAAUAAAUUAAUAUAAUAAAAAAUAAAUUUUAUAAUUUAGGGGAUAAGCUUUAAAUUAAAAAAUUAUAAAAUAAGUUAAAUAAAAUAAAAUUUUUAAAAUUUAUAUUGUUUAAAAAUUAUAAUUUAUUAUAAAAAAUUUUAGUAAAAUUAAAAUUUAAAAAUAAUUUAAUUUUUUAUAAAAAUAUAUAUUUUAAUAAAAAAAUAUUAGAAAAAAUGGUAAAAUUAGUAUAAUAAUGAAAUAAAAUUAAAAAUUGUUAAUAAUUAAUUAAAAGGAAUUCGGCAAAAUUUUAUAUUCACCUGUUUAACAAAAACAUGUCUUUUUGAUAAAUAAUUUAAAGUCUAAUCUGCCCACUGAUUUUAAAUUAAAGGGCUGCAGUAUAUUGACUGUACAAAGGUAGCAUAAUCAUUAGUCUUUUAAUUGAAGACUUGUAUGAAAGAUUUGAUGAAAUAUGAACUGUCUCUUAAUUAUUAUUAGAACUUAAUUUUUUAGUUAAAAAGCUAAAAUAUAUUUAAAAGACGAGAAGACCCUAUAGAGUUUUAUAAUUAUUUUUUUGAUAUAUUUAUAUAAAAUUUUAAUAUUUUAAAAAAAUAAUUAUUAUAUUGGGGUGAUAAAAAAAUUAAAAAAACUUUUUUUAAAAAUUAACAAAGAUAAAUGAUUAAAUGAUCCAUAAAUAAUGAUUAAAAGAAAAAAUUACCUUAGGGAUAACAGCGUAAUAUUUUUUUUAGUACAAAUAAAAAAAAAAGUUUGCGACCUCGAUGUUGGAUUAAGAUAAAAUUUAAAUGCAAAAGUUUAAAAUUUUGAUCUGUUCGAUCGUUAAAAUCUUACAUGAUCUGAGUUCAAACCGGUGUAAGCCAGGUUGGUUUCUAUCUUUAAUGAAAUAAAAUAUUUUA